rnacentral:lncRNA from 1 species
CUCCUCAGUCGGCCGCUCAGGCUGCGGCUCCUCCCGGGGCCGGUUCCCGCUGUCUCAGCCGCGGCGCAGAGGGCACAUCGGCCUGACCGACUAGCCGGCUGCCAGUGCCGGGAGCCGCCGCGUCCAUCCCCGCCCGCCUGGCCGGGGACCCAGGACUGAGUCGUCCAGCUGCGCCCCUCGCCCAUAGCCCCAGCGGGCGCCGGGCGGGCGAGCAGCUCUUCGGCCCUUCCCGGACAGCGACGCAGUCGCAGCGCGCGCCCUAACACAGAUGUGGGAAGAUAAAUGAAGGGGUCUAGAUGUAAAUGUCAGUGGAAAGGAGAGCUACCAUCACUAAGGUAUGAAAAUGUUCACUGAAAGAAUUUGCACUAUACAAAAUAGUCUUUUGAGUGGAAAGCAUCACCCAUUUUUGUGAUUCUGUCUUUAAAAAUGUAGAAUGAAACUACAUGAGUUAUUAAGUUCUGUUCUAGAAGAAAGUGUGUAUUGAAGUUGUGAUUGGAAUGGAUUCACUUUAAACUAGAAAUAGCUUUUUAUUGCUGAAAUGUAAUUUGCUCAUUUUUGACUUUAAAAAUGUUAAGUAAAAUAAGGUUGAAAUCACAGAGUUCUUAAUACCCUUACCCUUGUUUUUCUUUUCCUUCUGUUAGAGUUCAGCUGAUUUUUACCUUGAUUUUCAUUUAUAAAGAACUUUAGUUAAAAAAUAAUGGCAAGUCUAUCCUGUUGGUCUAGCUUACUAAAUUCCUUUACUUCUUUCACUAAAU